rnacentral:rRNA from 1 species
GUCUACAGCCAUACUGCCCUGAACACACCCAAUCUCGUCUGAUCUUGGAAGCUAAGUAGGGUUGGGCCUGGUUAGUACUUGGGUGGGAGACAGUUGAAGCUUCUGCGUUAAGAAGGUAACAGAAGAGA